GACAGAGGGUGCAAACGUUGUUCGGAAUUACUGGGCGUAAAGCGCUUGUAGGCGGCUUUGCAAGUCGGGCGUGAAAUCCCCAGGCUUAACCUGGGAACUGCAUUCGAGACUGCAUUGCUAGAGUAUGGGAGAGGGAAGUGGAAUUUCCGGUGUAGCGGUGAAAUGCGUAGAUAUCGGAAGGAACAUCAGUGGCGAAAGCGACUUCCUGGACCAAUACUGACGCUCAUGUGCGAAAGCGUGGGGAGCAAACAGG
rnacentral:rRNA from 1 species